CAGGGUACUCGAGUGGCGAACGGGUGAGUAACACGUGGGUGAUCUGCCCUGCACUUCGGGGUAAGCUUGGGAAACUGGGUCUAAUACCGGAUAGGAACCAUCUUUAGUGUGGUGGUUGGAAAGUUUUUUCGGUGUAGGAUGAGCUCGCGGCCUAUCAGCUUGUUGGUGGGGUAAUGGCCUACCAAGGCGGCGACGGGUAGCCGGCCUGAGAGGGUGUACGGCCACAUUGGGACUGAGAUACGGCCCAG
rnacentral:rRNA from 1 species